GGAAGAUUAGCUCAGUUGGGAGAGCGUCAGCCGCCUACAAGGCGAAUGUCAUGGGUUCGAGUCCCUUAUCUUCCACCA
rnacentral:tRNA from 1 species